rnacentral:rRNA from 1 species
CCUACGGGAGGCAGCAGUGGGGAAUAUUGGACAAUGGGCGCAAGCCUGAUCCAGCCAUGCCGCGUGUGUGAAGAAGGCCUUCGGGUUGUAAAGCACUUUUAUCCGGAAAGAAAAGCUUUGGGUUAAUACCCUGAAGUCAUGACGGUACCGGAAGAAUAAGCACCGGCUAACUUCGUGCCAGCAGCCGCGGUAAUACGAAGGGUGCAAGCGUUACUCGGAAUUACUGGGCGUAAAGCGUGCGUAGGUGGUUUGUUAAGUCUGAUGUGAAAGCCCUAGGCUCAACCUGGGAAUUGCAUUGGAUACUGGCAGGCUAGAGUGCGGUAGAGGAUAGUGGAAUUCCCGGUGUAGCAGUGAAAUGCGUAGAGAUCGGGAGGAACAUCUGUGGCGAAGGCGACUAUCUGGGCCAGCACUGACACUGAGGCACGAAAGCGUGGGGAGCAAACAGGAUUAGAUACCCUGGUAGUCCACGCCCUAAACGAUGCGAACUGGAUGUUGGGUGCAACUGGCGACNCAGUAUGAGACUACGACGUUAGUUACGUCCGCCGUCGGGAGGUACGGUCGCGAGACGAGAAACGUUAAAGUAAAGUUAGUACGGACGUGAGACGUACGCCGACGGACGACGACGAGGGGAGGAGGG